rnacentral:rRNA from 1 species
CCCUUCGGGGUACUCGAGCGGCGAACGGGUGAGUAACACGUGAGUAAUCUGCCCCAGGCUCUGGGAUAGCCACCGGAAACGGUGAUUAAUACCGGAUAUGACAACCGAUCGCAUGAUCUGGUUGUGGAAAGUUUUUCGGCCUGGGAUGUGCUCGCGGCCUAUCAGCUUGUUGGUGAGGUAAUGGCUCACCAAGGCUUCGACGGGUAGCCGGCCUGAGAGGGUGACCGGCCACACUGGGACUGAGACACGGCCCAGACUCCUACGGGAGGCAGCAGUGGGGAAUAUUGGACAAUGGGCGGAAGCCUGAUCCAGCAACGCCGCGUGAGGGAUGACGGCCUUCGGGUUGUAAACCUCUUUCAGCACAGACGAAGCGAAAGUGACGGUAUGUGCAGAAGAAGGACCGGCCAACUACGUGCCAGCAGCCGCGGUAAUACGUAGGGUCCGAGCGUUGUCCGGAAUUAUUGGGCGUAAAGGGCUCGUAGGCGGUCUGUCGCGUCGGGAGUGAAAACCAGGUGCUUAACACCUGGCCUGCUUCCGAUACGGGCAGACUAGAGGUACUCAGGGGAGAAUGGAAUUCCUGGUGUAGCGGUGAAAUGCGCAGAUAUCAGGAGGAACACCGGUGGCGAAGGCGGUUCUCUGGGAGUAUCCUGACGCUGAGGAGCGAAAGUGUGGGGAGCGAACAGGAUUAGAUACCCUGGUAGUCCACACCGUAAACGUUGGGCGCUAGGUGUGGGACACAU